rnacentral:rRNA from 1 species
CCUACGGGUGGCAGCAGUGAGGAAUAUUGGUCAAUGGACGCAAGUCUGAACCAGCCAUGCCGCGUGCAGGAAGACGGCUCUAUGAGUUGUAAAUUGCUUUUGUACCAGGGUAAAUCUCGAUACGUGUAUCGGGUGUAAAGUAUCGUACGAAUAAGGAUAGGCUAACCCCGUGCCAGCAGCCGCGGCAAUACGGAGGAUUCAAGCGUUAUCCGGAUUUAGUGGGUUUAAAGGGUGCGUAGGCGGUUCGGUAAGUUAGAGGUGAAAUCCCGGGGCUCAACUCCGGCACUGCCUCUGAUACUGUCGGGCUAGAGUUUAGUUGCGAUAGGCGGAAUGUAUGGUGUAGCGGUGAAAUGCGUAGAGAUGAUACAGAACACCGAUUGCGAAGGCAGCUUACCGAACUACGACUGACGUUGAGGCACGAAAGCGUGGGGAGCAAACAGGAUUAGAUACCCGUGUAGUC